GCGCUGCCUUUGAGCCACCCCCACCCCCACCACCCCCCCCCCCCCCCCCCCGCACACCUCGUGGUGCCAGGAUUAAGCUGUGGUGCCAUAGCGCGUUGCUGGCGCAUAACUGGGGCCUGCCCUUCGUAGGCGGCCCUUUUCACCGCUAGCCACAGGC